CCUACGGGUGGCAGCAGUGAGGAAUAUUGGUCAAUGGGCGAAAGCCUGACGCAGCGACGCCGCGUGAGGGAUGAAGGUCUUCGGAUCGUAAACCUCUGUCAGCAGGGAAGAACGGUCACUGUGCUAAUCAGCAGUGAAUUGACGGUACCUGCAAAGGAAGCACCGGCUAACUCCGUGCCAGCAGCCGCGGUAAUACGUAGGGUGCGAGCGUUAAUCGGAAUUAAUGGGCGUAAAGCGGUCGUAGGCGGUAUGUCAAGUCAAGGGUGAAAUCCCCGCGCUCAACGUGGGAACUGCCUUUGAAACUGGCAAACUGGAGUGUGUGAGAGGAUAGUGGAAUUCCAGGUGUAGGAGUGAAAUGCGUAGAUAUCUGGAGGAACAUCAGUGGCGAAGGCAGCUAUCUGGCACAUAACUGACGCUGAGGAGCGAAAGCGUGGGUAGCAAACAGGAUUAGAUACCCCGGUAGUC
rnacentral:rRNA from 1 species